rnacentral:rRNA from 1 species
GAUGAACGCUGGCGGCGUGCCUAAUACAUGCAAGUCGAGCGAACGGACGAGAAGCUUGCUUCUCUGAUGUUAGCGGCGGACGGGUGAGUAACACGUGGAUAACCUACCUAUAAGACUGGGAUAACUUCGGGAAACCGGAGCUAAUACCGGAUAAUAUUUUGAACCGCAUGGUUCAAAAGUGAAAGACGGUCUUGCUGUCACUUAUAGAUGGAUCCGCGCUGCAUUAGCUAGUUGGUAAGGUAACGGCUUACCAAGGCAACGAUGCAUAGCCGACCUGAGAGGGUGAUCGGCCACACUGGAACUGAGACACGGUCCAGACUCCUACGGGAGGCAGCAGUAGGGAAUCUUCCGCAAUGGGCGAAAGCCUGACGGAGCAACGCCGCGUGAGUGAUGAAGGUCUUCGGAUCGUAAAACUCUGUUAUUAGGGAAGAACAUAUGUGUAAGUAACUGUGCACAUCUUGACGGUACCUAAUCAGAAAGCCACGGCUAACUACGUGCCAGCAGCCGCGGUAAUACGUAGGUGGCAAGCGUUAUCCGGAAUUAUUGGGCGUAAAGCGCGCGUAGGCGGUUUUUUAAGUCUGAUGUGAAAGCCCACGGCUCAACCGUGGAGGGUCAUUGGAAACUGGAAAACUUGAGUGCAGAAGAGGAAAGUGGAAUUCCAUGUGUAGCGGUGAAAUGCGCAGAGAUAUGGAGGAACACCAGUGGCGAAGGCGACUUUCUGGUCUGUAACUGACGCUGAUGUGCGAAAGCGUGGGGAUCAAACAGGAUUAGAUACCCUGGUAGUCCACGCCGUAAACGAUGAGUGCUAAGUGUUAGGGGGUUUCCGCCCCUUAGUGCUGCAGCUAACGCAUUAAGCACUCCGCCUGGGGAGUACGACCGCAAGGUUGAAACUCAAAGGAAUUGACGGGGACCCGCACAAGCGGUGGAGCAUGUGGUUUAAUUCGAAGCAACGUGAAGAACCUUACCAAAUCUUGACAUCCUUUGACAACUCUAGAGAUAGAGCUUUCCCCUUCGGGGGACAAAGUGACAGGUGGUGCAUGGUUGUCGUCAGCUCGUGUCGUGAGAUGUUGGGUUAAGUCCCGCAACGAGCGCAACCCUUAAGCUUAGUUGCCAUCAUUAAGUUGGGCACUCUAAGUUGACUGCCGGUGACAAACCGGAGGAAGGUGGGGAUGACGUCAAAUCAUCAUGCCCCUUAUGAUUUGGGCUACACACGUGCUACAAUGGACAAUACAAAGGGCAGCGAAACCGCGAGGUCAAGCAAAUCCCAUAAAGUUGUUCUCAGUUCGGAUUGUAGUCUGCAACUCGACUACAUGAAGCUGGAAUCGCUAGUAAUCGUAGAUCAGCAUGCUACGGUGAAUACGUUCCCGGGUCU